CGGACGGGUGAGUAACGCGUGGGUAACCUACCCUGUACACACGGAUAGCAUACCGAAAGGUAUGCUAAUACGGGAUAAUAUAUUUGAGAGGCAUCUCUUGAAUAUCAAAGGUGAGCCAGUACAGGAUGGACCCGCGUCUGAUUAGCUAGUUGGUAAGGUAACGGCUUACCAAGGCGACGAUCAGUAGCCGACCUGAGAGGGUGAUCGGCCACAUUGGAACUGAGACACGGUCCAA
rnacentral:rRNA from 1 species